UGGCGGACGGGUGAGUAACGCGUGGGUAACCUGCCUCAUACAGGGGGAGUAACAGUUAGAAAUGACUGCUAAUACCGCAUAAGACCACAGGAUUGCAUGAUCCGGUGGUAAAAACUCCGGUGGUAUGAGAUGGACCCGCGUCUGAUUAGCUAGUUGGUAAGGUAACGGCUUACCAAGGCGACGAUCAGUAGCCGACCUGAGAGGGUGACCGGCCACAUUGGGACUGAGACACGGCCCAAACUCCUACGGGAGGCAGCAUG
rnacentral:rRNA from 1 species